CACUUCUGAAAUAAAAGUUACGCAAAAUAAGUAAAUUAUAAAAUUAUAUUUAUUACCUUUUUUAAUUAAAAUUCGUACGAACCAAUGUAAACUAUUUUGCAUAAGUAGGUAUAAAUACGUCGCAAUGCUGUGAAACCGAAAUCUGAAGUGUUUGAAAGAGAACUGUGACAAUGUAAAUAAGAAAACCUAAUCAAAAUAUGCGCGGCGACUCGGCGUUUAUUUCGGCAAUGAGCUGUGCGCCGACACGCAGAAAUACUAGACGCCGAUAACAGACGAUUGUAGCAUGCUAAAUGCCACACCAAUGCGAUGUUUGUCGCGCCGGUCGCGCGCGACACGCGAUAUCCAAUGAACGUACAGCUUUAUCGAUGUUCUCAUUCUAAAGUUAUACGCUCAUUUGAAUAUCGUGUGUCGUGUGCGACGAACAUCGCGCUGGUGUGCAGCUGGCAUUACACUAUAUGCGGAUAAAUUUUAUUACUCAAUCUGCAGGACUGCCAAUCUUUAAUGUCAACACUACACUCACACGCCAAAGUUUUUUUUCGCUAUCCAGUCAAAAAAUAUUUUCUUUUUAUAUAAAAUCCCGGACUCUCAUGAUUAUCCUGGAUGCCUUUCGAAAACCCCUCCGGACGUCCCCGGACGUCAUAAAAAAGAGGACGGUGUCCAGAGAAAAGAGGACGGAUAGCAAACCUACGUAUGGGUGAUUUAUGUAAUUCGCAGUUCCAUACGAGUGUGAAGUUCUGGGCAAAUCGGCACCGAAUCAUUAGGCGUACGCCACUGCGACUGCCCUUCUGAUGCUCUCCGCAGACGACGGAUCUCCUUCCACGAGUCGCCCACCGGAACCUACCUGAUAUCUUGGGCAACUAACAUGCGUACCAUUAGGAAACGCGGACGAACCUCCUAUGUCCGGAGGAGUAGGCGGAACCGUUCCCCAGGGCCACCCACAAACGCGCCGCUACAACCGACUGGCGAACAAUUCAACACAAUAGAUCUCCUAUUCACCAACAGAGACACAACCAUUAGAUCUUAUCCUCGACUAUUCCCCUCCUCCUCUCAAGGAAUGAUUCCCUCUCCUUCUCGCGAAGAAGGAUUUUCACUCCCUCCUCCCUUGAAUCAGCUCCCGCCUCUCCCGUUUCAACCGAAUCCCCAGCCGAUCGACUGGGAUCGGAUAUUCAGGCUAUAUUCGUCCUCCUCCAACGAAGGGGACAGAUUAGUCACUGUAUACAUCCCCGGAAAUUCCACAUCUUACACCGUCCUCUACAAGCACCUCAUCCCGAUGUGUUCCUGCAACACUUUCCUCGCCCCCUCUCAUACCCGUUAACCCUUUCCUCUCCACACACACACACACACACACACACACGCAUACAUCCAUAAACUAUAAUUUAUA